AACGAACGCUGGCGGCAUGCCUAACACAUGCAAGUCGAACGAGACCUUCGGGUCUAGUGGCGCACGGGUGCGUAACGCGUGGGAAUCUGCCCUUCGGUUGGGAAUAACUGAGAGAAAUUUCAGCUAAUACCUUAUAAUGUCUUCGGACCAAAGAUUUAUCGCCGAGGGAUGAGCCCGCGUAGGAUUAGGUCGUUGGUGGGGUAAUGGCCUACCAAGCCGACGGGCCUUAGCUGGUCGGAGAGAAUGAUCAGCCACACUGGGACUGAGACACGGCCCAGACUCCUACGGGAGGCAGCAGGUGGGAAUAUUGGAAAAUGGGCGAAAGCCUGAUCCAGCAAUGCCGCGUGAGUGAUGAAGGCCUUAGGGUUGUAAAGCUCUUUUACCCGGGAUGAUAAUGACAGUACCGGGAGAAUAAGCUCCGGCUAACACCGUG
rnacentral:rRNA from 1 species